UUGGUGUGUGUGUGUGUUUGCAUUGGAGUUAUUUUGGCAGAGUCUAAAGAUCUUUCUGUCACAUUCAGCAUCUGUUAUUGGGACUUCUAUUCAUUUGGACCUAAGCAAUCUAUACAUAAAAGAUGUGAUUCUUUUAUCAUUCAAAUUAUUUUUACUAGCUUAGUUGAACUUAGAGAAGCAUAAAAAAUGGCAUUUUCAUGAGAUGCUAAAUUUAAUAGCAUCACAAGUCAGUAAACUGCAUUCAGGUAACUGAGAAAUUGUCUUUUAGCCACACUAAACUGAACACUUGUUGAACACAUACUCAUCAUGGAUCACUUUGAAAUGUAUGAGAUCUCAAUAUUAUAAAUGAGGCACAGAAGCUUUUUUAAAGGUAGUAUUAGGAAGCUGAGAAAAUAAGAAUAAAAUCUGCCCAUUUGAAAUAUAUAGUUUCAAACUAAAUGAAUACAGAGUUUGUCAGUGUGAUGUUUACAAUAAUGUCUUUAGAUUAUCUGGAUUAUGAAAACAAGCACUUUUUUGUUAAAACAAUUAUAUACUAAUAAAAACUAUCAUAAUGGUAUUAAUGUAAGGAAAUUUUGAAUAUGAAAUUCAGGGAUAAAUUACAAUCCAUGGUCUGUGUCUUCAAUAUUGUAAGCAGCAGACAUUAAGGUAAUUUUAGAUUAACACCAUUUUGUUCCCUGAUUGAUGGAGCUUAAACAGUGUAUGCUGCUUUAAAUUUCUACCUCUAGCAGAUCUUUAUUGGAGGGAAUUUUCCUUUUUAUUAUUAUUUUUAAAUGUUCAUUAUUCCGUUUCCGGUAGCUUGAAAAGUAGAGAUGACUCAUGUUUUAACCUUUUCUUGGAGGAAAGGAAUAAUUUUUCUUGAAUAUUUUCACAGAUUAUUGUGAUUGCUUUAAAGAACCUCUGUGGCAAUUUGGAUUAGAUGGACUUAAUAAUGUGCUUGUAGCAUAAUUGUCAUGUUUUAAUAAGAAAACUUACUUGUAAAUCUUUACAGCUUUGUUGUCACUUAGGAUAGGGAGUUACUAUUGGAGGUGGCAUCUUACUAGUGGGGGUGGGGACCUGUGUCUGCAUAUAGUGAGGGAAGUUUUAUGAUCCUCACUCCUACCAUGCACAACAGGGUUCCAUAUGACUUGUUGAAUUAGGGAAUUUUUAAAACUAUUUCUCAUUUAUGUGUCCCUCAGUACGUGGCAGAUGUUUGGUGUGAAUUCUCAUUACCUGUAUGAAUGAACUUGAAAUUAAGGGAAAAUCUUUUUCUCUUAAAUCAUAAAAGAAACAAAGUUUUAAAAAACAUCCAUUGAAUGUAAAGGAUUGCACGCUGUUUUUGAGUGAUUUAGAAGUGCUUUUUAUUCAUUGGCUACUAUUUGUUUUUUACAACUGUAUCAAAACAGAUGAUCUUUGUUUUUCUCACAUAGGAAAAACAAGUUGGCACUGGUGGGUUGGUUUUAUUAAUUAAAAUUGUUUUGCUAUCAGGUGAUUUUUUUAACAGUGUUACUUACACUUCUAAAUUAUAUAAUAUUUUAGUUAAUUCUGAAAUCAUUGAUUUGCUUUUAAUUUCUCACAUGAAUAUUUUUAAAAUGUUCUACAUAAAUUUGCAUCUCUUUUUCUUACAGCUUUUUCAGUUUAUAUAUUCUAAACUUGAAAAGGUAGAAUCAGUCAAUAUUAGAAGUGUCACUGGAGGAUUUAUUUAAAUUUUCAUUUCUUAUGUUUAAUCCUAGCUACUAAAGUGUGUGAGCCUUAAAAGUUUUUUUCCCUUAAAUUAACUUUACACACAAAAGCUUCAAUUUUCAUAAAGUGGGAGGAGAUAGGUUAUUGUGCUUGCUUUUUUAAAACAUUUUCUUUAUUCUGAAAUGAUGUAUAUUUAGAUACGCUAAUCAAGUGGACAAGAUGGUGUAUAUAUAUGUGUACAUAUAUAUAUAUAUACACACACACAACAUAAAGAGAAGCCCUACAAAUAAAUCACAGGAUAAAAAUUAUGAAGUUUGGGAACUGUAAAGUGUACUGUAUUUAUAUGUAACUAAUUCAAAAAGUUGCCACAAAGGCUGAAUUGGAAGCUUCAUGUCUGCAUGAAAUUUCCUGUAUUUUUAAUGUGUACGAUGGAUUUAAUUCUUCUUGAAUAUUAAAGUCUGCCAAUUGCUAUGAAACUAUAUUUGCUUGGUUGUUUCCAUCUCAGUUAGUUAUAACUUACAGAUGUGGAAAUUUUAAUUGAUGGAGCACAUACACUUUGAAUCCUUUGUCUGGCCUAUUUUUUGUAUACUUCUAGAAAGUGAGUAAUAAGAAUAUUUUUCCUUUGAGUAUGCCAGGCUUUAUACUAACUAUUUUCACUUUGUUUCAUUCAAGUUCACUGUAAUGAGAUUGGAGUACACUAAUGGAAAAAAGAUUAAUCUUGAUCUUUAGUUUGUAAAAUAAUAGAAACAAGAACUAUAAAGGAAAACAGUAGAAAGGAGUCCCAGCACCAGCCAUAGUAGGAUAAGCAUGGUUCAUCACCUCAGACAAACCACUUGGAGCUUAUGUCUUCAAUUGUAGGAUAAGAUCAAUACUACCUAUUUCAAAGGGUUUUGAGGCUGAUCAUAUGAACUUUUACAUAAACAAAGGACUUCAUAAAAUUUGUAGAAAUGCAUAUAAUAAAAAAAUUAUGCAUAGAUUCAAAACUUUGCACCAAAAUAAACUUUUAAUGCCAUUUUCUCAGUUUGAAUUACCCUCACAUGUGUGUGAAUAAAGGCACAUGAUAGACAAUUAAAUGUAAUUUCAAUCUGUGUUGACUGCUGUAUAGUGAUAGGAAAAGAUGAAGAUUGGUAAUAGGACAUUAGUUUUUGUGUUAUGCUAGUCCUUUGAAAAUGUUUUCAGUACAGUCCGGGGGAAAAAUAUUUAAAAAACAAUAAAAAGGGCAGGGGUGUGUGUGUCUAGUCUAGAAGUUUGAUGGGAACUGUGAGAAAAUAUAAUAGUAGGUAAUCAGAAGGCACAAAUAAAGUUUAAUGGAAGAUUAUCUUCACUUUUACAAACAUGUUAAUGCAUGCCUCUUACAUAUGAAGAUACUUGAACAAGUUCAUGGAAAAACAGAAACAUUUUGAAACCCAUGAGUAAUUUUUUUUUAAAGAGUUUUAUUUAUUUAUUUGAAAGUCAGAGUUACAGAGAGAGGAGGCAGAGAGAGAGAGAGAGGUCUUCCAUCUGCUGGUUCACUCCCCAACUGGCUGCAACAGCUGGAGCUGUGCCAAUCUGGAGCCAGGAGCUAGGAGUUUCUUCCAGGUCUCCCAUUUGGGUGCAGGAGUCCAAGGCCUUGGGCCAUCUUAUACUGCUUUCCCAGGCCAUAGCUGAGAGCUGGAUUGGAAGUGGAGCAUCUGGGUCUCGAACUGGCGCACAUAUGGGAUGCUGGCACUUCAGGCCAGGGUGUUAACCCGCUGUGUCACAGCGCCAGCUUCCCAUGAGUAAUUUUUUGAUCAUGUGCAAUUUCCAUAAAUUUUUUGAAGACCCCUCUUGUGCAUGGAUUUCAAAAUCCUUAUAUUUUCAUUUUCAGUUAAGUUGUCUUUCAAAAAGACUGAACGAAUUUACAUGUCAACAACAGUGUUUAAUUUUGCAUCCAUUCUUUGGCCAAUACUGUAUAUAUUGCUGCACUUUAUUUUUGUCAAUGUAAGGAAAUCUUUAUUUCUAAUAUUUUAAAAAUAUUUUGGCAAGUUGAACAAUUUCUUUAAGUUUAAUGGCCAAGAGGGCUAUCUUUAAUCUGUCGGUCAAGAGUCCUAAGUUAAUAAACACAGUAAGGUUCAUCAAGGAAAGUCCUAGCCAGGGUCAUAAGCACUGUUGAGGUCUCUCUUCUGAGGAGAAACUACAUCUGCUGCUGAUUCUGUGCUGCUGGCAUUGAAGCCAAGCAGCAGCAACAGCUCAUUCAAUUCCUUUGGUUUCAUCUGCCAAACAAUCAAGGAGGUAGGCCUCUGAGUCAAGGCUCCAUUAAAUCAGUGGCUCUGCUUCAGGCAGUAGAGUUGGCCAUAAAGUUUACCCCUAAAGGCAUAGCCGCCACUUUUUCAUGUGACAACAAAAUGCUAAUAAGUCCCUUCACUAAAAAUACUAUUUCUGCUUGCCUGGCAGGUGUGUUGGGCUCUCUUCAGCUUGUUAGCCAUCAAGUCCACAGUGACCCAUUCCAGAAUGCCAGAUGUCAAGCCAAAGAGUCACAAGAAAAGCCUCUGUGAAUCACACGUUCAGUUUUAGCUUAGUUGCAGCUUGGGAGACUCAGCAGCUACAGCCAUCCUGCCUUUCUGCUGGGGCUAUGGAACUUGCUGCUCUUUUGCUGUUAGAACAUCUCAUCUGCUUCCUGGAAGAGAAUAAGCAGUAAUCAAGGUGUGGUCAUGUAUCACCUAACAACAUCUCAGUUGGGAUAGACCACACGUGAUAGUGGUCCCAUAAUACCUGACGACACCAUGGACACCUUUGUGUAAGUACACUCUGAUGUUAACACAAUGACAGAAUUGGCCAACAACGCAUUUCUCUGAGUGACUUCAAUCUUACUUGUAGGCACUCUGCGUCACUAACAGAAAGUUGAGACUCAGAACUGUCCUGCCUCUUGUACCAGCUGGACAAAAUAUUUACUACUGGAUCCUAGGGAGAUAAAUUCCUGAUGUGCCCUGCAAGGCUUUGUCCUUCCUAAUCCAGAAAGCCAUAGUCAACAACAUCCUAUCCUUGUCAACAAAAUUGUUGAGUCUGGGAUUUUUACUUUACCGUAUUUAUAAGCUAAUAAGUUAGCUUGGUAUGGUUUCAUAGAUUUUGGCAGAAGACAUGGCAUAGUGCACAAGUGAUACAUCGUUUCUGGAUAUCCUCACCCAGUGUCCCUUAAGAUAACAUUAAAAUAAUCAUAAUACAAUGACUGAAACUUUGAAAUUGAUAUUGGUAGAAUACUGUUACAGACUGUUCUUGUUUGGCGUUUACCCAGUACUUGCAAGCACUCAUAUUUCCUUUUCCAUUCUCAUACUUUUAACCCAUCUUCUUUAAAAAGUGAAUUUUCUGUACUAUUUAAAGGCACAGGAUAGCUUUGUAUUAGCUUUCUACAAUACUGUAUUUUAAUUUUAUCCAGUAAAUAAGAUAGAGUAACAGUUUUUUAAGACAUUUAUUUGAAAGGCAGAGUGUGAGAAAGAGAUGGAGAGGCAAUCCUUCAUUUGCUGUUUCCCAUGAGUCUGAAAUUCAUCCAGGUUGCCCACAUGCGUGCUGGCAGGGGUCCAAAUACUGAGGUCAUCAUACACUGCUUUCUCAGGUGCAUUGGCAGGGAGCUGGGUAAGAAGCACAGUAGCCAGGUCCCAAAACAGCAUUCUGAAAUGAAAUACUGGGACCACAAGUGGCAGCUUAACAUGCUGCACCACAAUAUUGGCCCUGCAGUACAACUUUUAUACAACUUAGGGGAUUUUUAAAAAAUUCUCCCUAAGAGAAAGUGAUUCAUCAGACCCUAGUGUUAAAAUAUCUUCUCACAAUAAACAGAUUUAAUUGCAUUAAAAUGGCAUUUUUCAAAUGUUUAAAUUACACCAACAUUCCUAAAUCGAGGCAACCAAUCCAUUGGUAACAAUGGGGCGUGAAUAUUUGGUAAAUGUUUAUGGUUUUCAUUUUCAUUAAUGAAAAACCUUUCCAAGUGCUACCAAACAGUAAAAUAGAUUUCACCAUUUCUCAGCUAAUCAUAGACCUGCCAACUGUGAAAUCAGAAAAGAUAAAGUGUUUUAUAGUAAUACAUGAAGAAACAGAAACAAGAUACAGAGUUGCAGAGAAUCAAACGAGCUAUAAUCACUGAAUAUAGGUAUCCUUAAAGUUGGAGACUACAAUUGGUAUUUAAAAUAAAAUGUGGGCCAGCGCCGCAGCUCAAUAGGCUAAUCCUCCACCUUGCAGCGCCGGCACACCAGGUUCUAGUCCCGGUCGGGGCGCCGGAUUCUGUCCCGGUUGCCCCUCUUCCAGGCCAGCUCUCUGCUGUGGCCUUGGAGUGCAGUGGAGGAUGGCCCAAGUGCUUGGGCCCUGCACCGCAUGGGAGACCAGGAUAAGCACCUGGCUCCUGGCUUGGGAUCAGCGCGGUGCUCCGGCUGCAGCGCGCUGGCCGCACCGGCCACUGGAGGGUGAACCAAUGGCAAAGGAAGACCUUUCUCUCUUUCAAUCUCUCUCACUGUCCACUCUGCCUGCAAAAAAUUAAAAGAAAAUAAAAAAAUAAAAUCUGGAGAGUGAGCAAUUAGCUUUGGGGUUUAGACACCUGCAUCAGAGCACCUGGGUAUGAUUCCUGGCUCUUGAUCCUUACUCUAGCUCCCUGCCAAUGCAGACUCUAGUAGGAAGCAGUGAUGGCCCAGAAAAUUGGGACCCUCCCAUCCAUAGAGAAGACAUGGAUUGUGUUCCUGGCUCCUGACUGAAGCCCCAGCUGUUGUGAGCAUCUGGGGAGUCAACCAGUGGGUGAAGUUCUGUAUUCUCUGCUUCUGAAAUAAACGACUUGAAGACUUGAUGAAAUACAAAUGUUCCUUAGAAAUUGGAAAUAAAACUUUCAGUUGAUGGAGAGCAUCAGGCUUGGUUAAUAAGUGACAGUCUCGCAUUUAUGUAUCUUAACUGCUUUAUGUGUAAUAUUCAUAAAUUAAAAUUUUAGGCCAGCACUGUGGCUCACUAGAAUAAUCCUCUGUCUGCGGCACCGGCAUCCCAAGUUCUAGUCCUGGUUGGGGCACCGGUUCUGUCCCGAUUGCUCCUCUUCCAGUCCAGCUCUCUGCUAUGGCCCGGGAGUGCAGUGGAGGAUGGCCCAGGUCCUUGGGCCCUGGACCCGCAUGAGAGACCAGGAGGAAACACCUGGCUUCUGGCUUCGGAUCAGCGCAGCGUGCCGGCCGUAGCAGCCACUGGGGAGGGGUGAAACAACAGAAAAAGGAAGACCUUUCUGUCUCAUGGUUUACCCCAUGGAAUGAAAGUACAUUUUAUUUUAUUUAUUUGAGAGGUUCAGUUACAGACUGUGAAAGGAAGAGACAGAGAAAGGUCUUCCUUCCUUGGUUCACUCCCCAAAUGGCCACAAUGAUUGGAGCUGCGCCGAUCUGAAGCCAGGAGUCAGGUGCUUCUUCCCGGUCUCCCAUGAGGAUGCAGGGGCCCAAGCACUUGGGCCAUCUAAUACUGCUUUCCCAGGCCACAGCAGAGAGGCAGAUUGGAAGAGGAGCAGCCGGGACUAGAACUGGUGCCCAUUUGGGAUGUCAGUGUCUCAGGCAGAGGAUUAACCUGCUGCACCAUGGCACUGGCCCCAGAAUGAAAGUACAUUAAUCAAGAUGCCAUUAUAAAAGUUUUAUUAGUGGGGCCGGCGCUGUGGUGUGGUGGAUAAAGCCACUGCCUGCGGUGCCAGCACCCCACUUGGGUGCUGGUUCCAGUCCUGGCUGCUCCACUUCUCAUCCAGCUCUCUGCUAUGGCCUGGGAAAGUAGUAGAAGAUGGCCCAAGUACUUGGGCCCCUGCACUCUUAUAGGAGACUCGGAAAAAGCUCCUGGCUUCAAAUCAGCACAGCUCCAGCCAUUUUGGCCAACUGGGGAGUGACCCAGCGGAUAGAAGACCUCUAUCUCUGCCUCUCCUUCCCUCUCUGUGUAACUGGCGCCACAGCUCACUUAGCUAGUCCUCCACCUGUGGCGCCGGUACCCUGGGUUCUAGUCCCGGUUGGGGCGCCAGUUCUGUCCUUGUUGCUCCUCUUCCAGUCCAGCUCUCUGCUGUGGCCCAGUAGGGCAGUGGAAAAUGGCCCAAGUGGUUGGGCCCUGCAUCCACAUGGGAGACCAGGAGGAAGCACCUGGCUCCUGGCUUCAAAUUGGCACAGCGCCAGCAGUAGCGGCCAUUUAGGGGGUGAACCAACGGAAGGAAGACCUUUCUUUCUGUCUCUCACUAACUCUUCCUGUCAAAAUAAAAAUAGAGAUUUCUUUUAAAAAAUGUAUUAGUAAGUACAAAUAUCUGUGCCUAGAACCUGCCACUAUUCCAAACUGAAACACCAAUACAUAAUUGCCAAGAAUAUAAACUUUUGGUUGAUUUUUUUGCAUCUUACAAGGCAGUCAUUUCUCAUGCUUUGUUUUAUGUGAAAGAGUUCCUAUGUCCCAUCUUGCCUUGGAGUAACGUCCUUUUUAGAAUUCAUCUUACUGAAUUAUCUUGCAAUGUCAGUUCUGAUGACUUAAGAAAAAGUAUGAUUUUGUAGAUUAUAAAACAUGGAAGAAUGGACAAAAUACAAAGUUACUUGUUUCUAAGUCAGAUACCACUUCACAAACAUUCAUCACUGGGCUACAUGGAGUACAUCUAGUGAGAAUGGAAACACCCUAAGAACAGGACAUAUGGACACAGUAAGAAUGAUUUACUUGUCACAGUUUGCUGAAGGGAAGAUAACUACCUGGCCUUCAAAACUGUGCCAUCUGGUUCAGAAGCUGCUGAUGGUGCCAGAUCCCAUGUCCUUUGGUAUGGCAUUUGGUCUAUGCUGAAGCUGUCAUUUAUGAAGGGUCUGAGAUGUAACCUUAUUAUCAAGCUUGAAGGUUAGUCUGCCACAGUGUCAUGAAGGCAUACAAAAGACUCCUACGUCAAAGACAGGACAGCUUAUUGUAUACAGUAAUGGUAACAGCCAGAGAAUUGAUUGCCCCUUAGACCCAAAUCUCAUAAGCUGCAGCAAAAAUUGUACCAGAGAAGAUCUGUAGAUGUAUUGGGCAGCAUCACAGGAGAAGCCCCAAGUUUGGAGAAUCUUACUUAAUCUUUCAUAAUGAGCAUUGUAAACCCCAAUUGUUUUUUAGACAUUUAUUUAUUUGAAAGUUACAGGGCCAGCGCCGCGGCUCAACAGGCUAAUCCUCCGCCUUGCAGCGCCGGCACACCGGGUUCUAGUCCCGGUCGGGGCACCGGAUUCAGUCCCGGUUGCCCCUCUUCCAAGCCAGCUCUCUGCUGUGGCCAGGAAGGGCAGUGGAGGAUGGCCCAAGUGCUUGGGCCCUGCACCCCAUGGGAGACCAGAAUAAGCACCUGCCUCCUGCCUUUGGAUCAGCCCAGUGCGCUGGCAGCGGCGGCCAUUGGAGGGUGAACCAACGGCAAAGGAAGACCUUUCUCUCUGUCUCUCUUUAUCUCUCACUGUCCACUCUGCCUGUCAAAAAAAAAAAAAAAAAAAGUUACAGAGACAGGAGAGACAGAUCUUCCUCUCACUGGUUCACUCCCUAGAUAUUCACAACAGCCAGGGUUGGGGCAGGCCAAAGUCAGGAGCCUGCAGCUUCAUUUGGGUCUCUCACAUGGGUGCAGGGUCCGAAACACUUGGGCUAUGGGCUAUGUUCCACUGCUUGGAGGGAAAACAUUCUUGAGAAACACUCUUUAGAGACAUUUCAGAUAGAAACUGUCUGUUGCUGUCAUGGAGAGCAGUUAGGGUUAGCAAAUAUUGAGCUGAAGAGCAGGGCUGGUAGAUGAAGGACCAGAAAUCAAUAUACUAUUUUGCACCUUGCUGUUUAAAAUUUCAGUUGAGAUUAUUUCAGGUAAGAGAGUAAAUCUGGUCCCUAUUUGAGAGAGAGAGAAAGUGAAACAGACUGAAAGUUCCCAUAUGCUGGUUCACUCUGCAAAUUCCUCCAGUGGGUGAGACUGGGCCAGGCUAAAGCCAAGAGCCAGGAACUCAAAACAGGGCUCUCAAAUGGGUGCCAGGGACCCAAUUACAUGAGCAUUCUUCUGCUGCCUCCCAAGGUGCACAUUAGCAGGAAGCUGGACUCAGGAGCAGAGCCAGCAAUCAAAUCCAGGUACUCUGACAUGGAAUAUGGCCAUCUUAACUGCUAUACCAAACACUUGCCCUUGAAUGUCGCUUUUUUGACUUUACAUUUUGCCAAAUGUUGGGUUUUUUUUUUUUUAAGAUGUAUUUUUAUUUAUUUGAAAGUCAGAUUUACACAGAGAGGAGAGAGAGAGAAGUCUUCAUCCGAGAGUUCAGUCCCCAUUUGGCCACAAAGGCUGGAACUGCGCUGAUCCAAAGCCAAGAGCCAGGAGCCAGGAGCCAGGAGCCUCUUCUGGGCCUCCCACACGGGUCCAGGGGCCCAAGGACUUGGGCCAUCUUCCACUGCUUUCCCAGGCCAUACCAGAGAGCUGGAUUGGAAGUGGAGCAGCUGAGUCUCGAACCAGCGCCCAUAUGGGAUGCGGCACUUCAGGCCAGGGCAUUAACCCACUGCGUCACAGCACUGGCCCCUGUUGUGUUUCUAUGCAUAUAAAUUAACUUAAUUUUAAAAAAUAUAGCAUUCCAUUAUAUAUUAAUUAUGUUAAGAUAUUAAUAUGUAAAAUAUACAUAUAUAAUAUAUAGUACAAUGCAUAGUCCUGCAUAUACUGUGUAUAAAUUCCCUAGAACUACAAUUGCUGAAAAUGUACAUACAUUGUAAACUUUUCUCAGAUACUGCCACAGGGCUCUCUGAAAAUGCAUACCAGUUUACACUUCAAAAAGUGAAUGGGGUGGGUGUUGUGGUGCCAUCUAGGUGGUACAUCUGGAUGGAGUUCCUGACUCUUGGUUUCAGCCUGGCCCAACUCCAGCUGUUGCAGGCAUUUGAGGAGUGAAGCAGCAGAUGGAAGAUAACUGUCUGUCCCUCUUCUUCUCUCUGUUGUUUUGCCUUUAAAUUAGUAAAUAAUGAGUAUCUAUUUCUCCAUGUUAGUAUGAUAUCUUACUAAACUUUUUUUGAUGAUUAGUUCAACGCUGAAACCUUUUUAAAAUCGCAGUGUCUUUUUGUUUGGCAAUUUAUCACAGACAGCCCAGGGAAGCAAGGUACUGAGGAUAAAUCUAGUCACUAUCCUAGGCUAACUGUUUACUAUGUGAUCUAACUUUUUCAUGGAUUCUACGAAUACUUAUUGAGAAUAUACAUUGUGUCAGGCCCCAGACUUGGUUCUGGGUAUUCAGUGAGCAAGAAGAUAAAUAUUGUUUCUUCUAUCACAGAGCAUGAGUGGAUACAUAUAUCUGUAUCACACACAUAUUAGAAAAGACUGCUGCUGGCGCAGCGGCUCACUAGGCUAAUCCUCCGCCUGCAGCACCAGCACCCCGGGUUCUAGUCCCGGUUGGGGUACCGGUUCUGUCCUGGUUGCUCCUCUUCCAGUCCAGCUCUCUGCUGUGGCCUGGGAGUGCAGUGGAAGAUGGCCCGGGUCCUUGGGCCCUGCACCUGCAUGGGAGACUAGGAGGAAGCACCUGGCUCCUGGUUUCAGAUCAGCUGUAGCAGCCACUUGGGGGGUGAAACAACGGAAAAAGGAAGACCUUUCUCUCUGUCUCUCUCUCUCUCUCUCUCUCUCUCAUUGUCUAACUCUGCCUGUCAAAAAAAAAAAAAAAAAAAGACAAGACUGCCAUAGAAAAUGGCAUUUGAAUUGAGUCCUAAGGGAUGAGCAGGACUUAGUAAAACACACAAAGAGAAACACUCAGGAAACUGCAUUUCAUAUUUUAAGUGCUUCUGUUAUGAAGUUAUUCAUGUGUACUUUUAUACAAAGAGGAAAAUGUGUAUUUUUCUACUUUAAGAAUACUUGUAUAAUUUUCUUUAUGUUCUGAGUUCUUUAUAAUAUGAUCUGGCACAUCAUGGUCAAUGGUUUGAAGUUGAUAAGGUUGAUGAAUAAAUUGAUGUUCAAUUUACUAAAAACAUACCACGAAUAAAUACAAUUUACUGCAACAAGGAAACAGUUAUCUAUUGCUCCACUACUUUGAGAUAAAUAAUAUCUCAGAGUUGAAAGUUAUGCAACAAUUUAUCCACAAGCCAAAUUAAAAUAUUACAGGAAAGAGUUUUCUGAUUCUAGUAAUGAUGGAGUUUACAGGGACCAGAUUUACCCUCUUAUCUAAAGUAACCAAAACCCAGAUACAAUACAUGAAAGAACUUUUCUCACAAUACUAAAUAUUGGGCCAGCACACUGUGGCGCAUCAGGCUAACGCCCUGGCCAAAAGGGCCGGCAUCCCAUAUGGGCGCCAGUUUGUGCCCCAGGUGCUCUUCUUCCGAUCCAGCUCUCUGCUUGGCCUGGGAAAACAGUAGAAGAUGGCCCAAGUCCUUAGGCUCCCGCAUGGGAGACCCAGAAGAAGCUCCUGGCUCCUGGCUCCUGGCUUUGGAUCAGAGUGGCUCCAGCUGUUGCGGCCAAUUGGGAAGUGAACCAUCAGAUGGAAGACCUCUCUCUGUCUCUCUCUCUCUCUCUCUCUCUCUCUCUCUCUGCCUCUCCUCUCUCUGUGUAACUCUGACUUUCAAAUAAAUAAAAAUCUUUUUUUUAAAAAAAGUUGUUUAAAAAAAUACUAAAUCAGCAAAAAGAGACAGAAUACAAACUUGGAGCUCCCAGAAUGUGGCCUUGUUAGGGGAAACCCAGGCAAAGUCCAACAGAUUUCCCAAAUAGAGGAAAUGGAGUGGACUCCAUGGAGACUGAGGCAGCUAGAGUUUGCAAAACAGAGUUCCUGAGAGGGUAAAGCUGCACACAGAACACUUGCAAUAUGGAAGACAGUCCCUCUUGAGUGAUCUGCAGGGUACUCAUCAGGGCAUGUGUGUGGGAAACUAUUCAAGGCCAGGAAAAGAAGCACCUCAACGUAUUACAUAGGACAGUGCCCAAGGCUCACAGACAGCCAGGAAAAAUGCUUUUUUUCUACAACUAGACCAGAAAACCUCAUAAUUUAUAGGGCACUGGCACUGGGUAUGGAAAGAGAAAGAUCUUGCCUCAGUAGUGGGGAACAAUUAGCCCUUGGGAACAGUGCCCACGUCCUGCUUCACAAACCUUAAAAGCAAGAUCAAAGUGACAGAACUUUCUAUGUAAUGAAACAGCAUCCUUGGGGCCACCUGCAGUGCUAGCAUCCCAUAUGGGUGUCAGUUUGAGUCUUGGCUGCUCCACUUUUUUUUUAAUAGAAAACUUUUAAUAAAUAUAAAUUUCAAAAGUACAACUUUUGGAUUAUAGCAGUUCUUCCCCCCGUAACCACCCUCCCACCCGAAAACCAUCCUAUCUCCUACUCCCUCUCCCAUCCCAUUCUUCAUUAAGAUUCAUUUUUAAUUAUCUUUAUAUACAGAAGAUCAACUCUAUACUAAGGAAAUAUUUCAACAGUUUGCACCCACACAGAUACACAAAGUAUAAAGUACUGUUUGAAGACUAGUUUUACCAUUAAUUACAUAGUACAACAUAUUAAGGACAGAGGUCCUACACGGGGAGUAAGUGCACAGUGACUCCUGUUGUUGAUUUAACGAUUGACACUCUUAUUUAUGAUGUCAGUAAUCAUCCAAGGCUCUUCUCAUGAGCUGCCAAGGCUGCUCUACUUCUGAUGCAGCUCUCUGCUAUGGCCUGGGAAAGCAGAAGAUGGCCCAAGUCCUUGGGUCCCUGCACCUGUGUGGGAGACCCUGAAGAUGGUCCAGGCUCCUGGAUUUGGAUUGGUCCAGCUCCAACCAUCAUGGCCAUUUGGAAAGGGCACCAGCAAAUGGCAGACUCCCUCUCCCUCUCUCUGUCUGUGUAACUUUGUCUUUCAAAUAAAUAAAUCUUAGCAUCCUAUACAAGGCUCAAGACUAUAGAAAAACAAAAACAUUUAGCACCCAACAAAGUAAACUCACAAUAUCUGGUGUACAAAAUGUACUAGGUAUGCUGAGAAACAGGAAAACAAAGCGAACAGAAACAUUAACUGAUUGAAACCAACCCAGAACUGUCACAUGUUAGAAUUAACAGAGAGAAACAUUAAAACAGCACAAUUGUAGUAUGUAUGUUCAAAAUGUUAUCUAGAGUCAUGGUUUCUAGUGAUGAAAAGUAUAUUUUGAGGGAUGAAAAGUACAGUGUAUGGGAUUAACAGGUUUGGUACAAAAACAAUUAGUGAAAUUCAAGGCAUAAAAUACACAGAAACUAUGCAAAAAUAAAUGAGAGACAGAAAAUAAAAGGUAACACUGGCCUUUUUGUUGUCUCUUGCUCAUGCCAGGCAUGCUCUUGCUAUUUUGCACUUUUUGACAUUUGCACAUACUAUGACUUCUGCCUGGGAUCACUUACCCUAUAUGUCCCACACUUUGCUCAAGUCCUUGCUUGAAAGUCUAUCAGAGGCUGGCGCCGCGGCUCACUAGGCUAAUCCUCCGCCUAGCGGCGCCGGCACACCGGGUUCUAGUCCCGGUCGGGGCACCGGAUUCUGUCCCGGUUACCCCUCUUCCAGGCCAGCUCUCUGCUGUGGCCUUGGAGUGCAGUGGAGGAUGGCCCAAGUGCUUGGGCCCUGCACCCCAUGGGAGACCAGGAUAAGCACCUGGCUCCUGGCUUGGGAUCAGUGUGGUGCACCGGCCACAGCGCGCCAGCCGUGGCGGCCAUUGGAGGGUGAACCAACAGCAAAAGGAAGAGCUUUCUGUCUGUCUCUCUCUCUCUCUCACUGUCCACUCUGCCUGUCAAAAAAAAAAAAAAAAAAAGAAAGAAAAGAAAGUCUAUCAGAGAGGCCCUUCUUGACUACCUUCUAUUCACUGUGCUUUACUUUCAUUAUUCCUCAGCACCUGACAGAUGUACUUCUUUUUCUAUCUCCUCCAGUAUCAUAGUAGGGGAGUCAAGGGGCAGCGCUAUUUGUUUACUGCUGUAACCCCAGGGUCCAGAUUUUUGUCUAGUCCCUAACAGAUAUGUAACCUAUGUCUUCAAAAAUAUACAAUUGUGAAAGAUUCAGUUAGGUUUCUGGCAUGAGUACCUGGAUGAAUGAUGACACUGGAGGAGGCUACAGUAUGAGAUGCCUGUGAAACACUCAAGUAGAAAUGAGGAAGCCUUUCAUUCAACUGUUCUAUUGUUUAUAUUGUGAAUAAACAAGACAAAAAGGCAAAAAUUCCUACCAUCAAGGAACACUUUCUAGAGAAGGAGAAAAUAGGAAUAAGAAUAAUAAGUGAAUUACAUAAUAGCUUGGAAGGUGAGGAUGCUAUGGAAAAAAAUGUAAAAAGGUCAAUAAAAUCAAGAGGGGAAAUGUAGAGUGACUUGCAAUUUUAAAUAGGGUGGUCAGGACAGGACUCACUGAGGUGCUGACCUAGAUAUGAUGCUCACAGAAGAGAUUUAUUGGUUAUACUGGCAAUAAUAUAUGCACCAAAAGUUUUCAUGAUUAAAUGAGGUAUAUAAAAGGUCCAGCAAAUAAGUAGCUGCUAAAAAUUUUUAAACCACUUCCCUACCCUAAACUGUUAGGAGGCUUCAAUCAGUCUCAAACAGGCAAGUUUAAAGAUAAGCAGAUGGCACAUUCAUGAGUUAUAUGUAUUUCUUCUUUACCAAGAAGACAUUAAAAAAAAAAAAAAACCUUCCUUCUUUAUUGCUUUGUUGACUUCUGGUCAUUAUCCACAGUAAAGUAUGGUUGAGAAAAGAAAUGACUCUUUUAUAAAAAGUAUUUGAGGGGCCGGCUCUGUGGCAUAGUGGGUGAAGCCACCACUUGCAUUGCUGGCAUCCCACGAGGGCACCAGUUCGAGUCCUGGCUGCUCCACUUCUAAUCCAGGUCUCUGCUAUGGCCUGGGAAAGCAGUAGAAGAUGGCCCAGGUCACAGUGGAAUCUCCCAGCUCCUGGCUUCAGAUCAGUGCAGUUCUGGCUGUUCCAGCCAUCUGGGGAGUGAACCAUUGGAUGGAAGACCUCUCUCUCUGCCUCAGACUCUCUCUAACUCUUUCAAAUAAGUAAAAUAAAUAUUUUUAAAAAAUUAUUUGAGCGAGGUAUAGCUCAAAUGCCAGCAAGUUAAAUUAAAUUCAAAACAAUGUUCAAUUAAUCUAAGGAAAGGAAGUAAAAGAACAAAAAGGAUAUUGGGGCCGGCACUGUGGCAAAGCAGGUAAAGCUGUCGCCUGCAGUGCUGGCAUCCCAUAUGGGCACCAAUUUGAGACCCAGCUGCUCCACUUCCUAUCCAGCUCUCUGCUAUGGCCUGGGGAAGCAGCACAAGAUGGCCCAAAUCCUUGGGCCCCUGCACCCACGUGGGAGACCUGGAGGAAGCUCCUGGCUCCUGGCUUCGGAUCAGCAUAGCUCUGGCCAUUGCAGCCAACUGGGGAGUAAAACAGCAGAUGGAAGACCUCUCUCUCUCUCUCUCCUUCUCCUUUUCUCUCUGUGUAACUCUUUCAAAGUAAAUAAAUAAAUCUUAAAAAAAAAAAAAAAAAAGAACAAAUAGAAAAUUCCAAAGUCGGGCUGGCGCUGUGGUGUAGAGGUGAAAGCCACUGCCUGCAGUGCCUGGACAUCCCAUAUGGGCACCGGUUCGAGUCCCAGCUGCUCCUCUUCUGAUCCAGCUUUCUGCUGUGGCCUGGGAAAGCAGUAGAAGACGGCCCAAGUUCUUGAGCCCCUGCACUUGCAUGGGAGACCCAGAAGAAGCUCCUGGCUCCUGACUUUGUAUCAGCACAGCUCCGGCUGUUGCAGCCAUCUGGGAAGUGAACCAGCGGAUGGAAGACCUCCCUCUCUUUCUCUCUCUCUGCUUCUGCCUCACUGUAACUCUGCCUUUCAAAUAAAUCUUUUAAAAAAAUUCAAAA